rnacentral:rRNA from 1 species
GACGAACGCUGGCGGCGUGCUUAACACAUGCAAGUCGAACGGAAAGGCCCUGCUUUUGUGGGGUGCUCGAGUGGCGAACGGGUGAGUAACACGUGAGUAACCUGCCCUUGACUUUGGGAUAACUUCAGGAAACUGGGGCUAAUACCGGAUAGGAGCUCCUGCUGCAUGGUGGGGGUUGGAAAGUUUCGGCGGUUGGGGAUGGACUCGCGGCUUAUCAGCUUGUUGGUGGGGUAGUGGCUUACCAAGGCUUUGACGGGUAGCCGGCCUGAGAGGGUGACCGGCAACAUAGGAAGCGAAGAGCGCCACAGACCCCAACGGGAGCGAAGAGGGGAGAAAAUUGCACAAGGGGCGGAAGCCAAAUGGGGGAACGCGGCGGGGGGGAGAAAGGCUUUCGGGUGAAAACCCGCUUGCGCGUGGAAGGAAGGGGAGGAGACGGUAAUGAAGAAAGAAGCACCGGUAAAUAAGGU